GUAAAGGGUUAUAUUUAGGCAAGAAAUAUAGAGAUUGAUGCUGUUAGGUUUCGUGCAACAACUUCCCAAGCGAUGUCACCUCUGAAUACAGUAUCACGAUGCACUACAUGGUUUCAGAUAAAGGAAGGAAGAUGUUUUAGAGAGAGAUAAUUCCCAAAACAAUGUGAGAUUACAGAUUAUGGAAGAUUGCUGGGCAUUAUGACAAACAAAGGUAUCAAGGAGGAAAAUGAACAAUGUAGGUCAGCAGUCAAAAUCUCUCAACUUAUUCAACUCUUAGCAGCAUGUUCCUAUGGAUCCAGAUGCAUUAAAAGAUUUCUAUUGUGUUGCAACCAAUGGAAUAGGCUAAGAAUCACACUGUUUUGCCUCUGUCACCAAAGACUGAAAUGUUUACUUCAAAAGACCUUCACCUGCAGUUAUUAAUAUUUCAACAAAGUUCGUGGCCCAAAAAAGCUUGCAGUUGAAAAGGAAA